GAGGUGACCAAGCUCAGAUGCUGAGAUUAAGGCGGCCGGGCGAAACUCGCGACACCCUGCGAUUCCCUCUUAGCCAGCUGCGUAAAGUUGCCUACGCCAAGCGGGUAGCGUCCUGCUCGGCCACCUGGCGGCGGGCGUGGAGUUGGCAGGCAGGCAGUGGGGGUCACGCCGGCAUGAAAGGCCAGAUCACCUGCAGGUCGCCAAGUUGCCGGGAAUCCCCCGCUCCGAGCAGUGUCAUGCCCAUCACAAAUAACCCUAUCGCAGCCGGGAGACCAAGUCUAGCUCUGCCACCGAGGCUGGAGUGCAGUGGCACGAUCUCGCCUCCGCCUCCCGGGUUCAAGCGAUUCACCUGCCUCAGCUUCCGGAGUAGCUGGGAUUACAGGCCUGCGCCACCACGCCUGGCUAAUUUUUGUAUUUUUUUUUUUUUUGGUAGAUACGGGGUUUCACCAUGUUGGCCAGGCUGGUCUUGAACUCCUGGCCUCAAGUGAUUCACCCGCCUCCGCCUCCCAAAGUGCUGGCAUUUCAGGCGUGAGCCACCACGCUUGGUCUUGCUCUAGCUAUUCUAAACAUGAAGAAGUCAUAUAGCUUCCUUGGUGCGGUGGGCUGAAGUCACUCUAAGGGAGUUUCCCAGCCCCAGGGGUUAAAGAACUGGAGUCAAGAUUGGAACCCAGCUGGCGAAGGAUUCCGCACCGCUAGAUCUUGACAUUUGCCUCUUCUUCUGCCAGGAAGGCUCCCCUGUUCCUUUUUGCUGACGUGUCAUUUCUAAGUACUUUCUCCUACUCCAUAAAGACUUCAAGUGAGUACACAAUA
rnacentral:lncRNA from 1 species